rnacentral:rRNA from 1 species
AGCUCUGUAAGCGUAUACCAAAGUUGUUGCAGUUAAAACGCUCGUAGUCGGACCUUGGCGGGCGGGCUGGGGCGUCUUUACGGACGGAUCCAGGACCGGCCGCCUUUGUGGAUGGGGGCCCGGCGUCGCUUCAGUGCGUCGGCGUGGUCGCUGCCACCGUUUACUGUGAGAAAAUUAGAGUGUUCAAAGCGGGCGUUUGCCAUGAAUACAUUAGCAUGGAAUAAUAGAAUAGGACCUGUCUCCUAUUUUGUUGGUUUGUGAGGAACGGGUAAUGAUUAAGAGGGACGGUUGGGGGCAUUUGUAUUCCGGCGUCAGAGGUGAAAUUCUUGGAUUGUCGGAAGACAAACGGCUGCGAAAGCGUCUGCCAAGGACGUUUUCAUUGAUCAAGAACGAAAGUACG